GACAGCAGCAGCCACGGGAAUACGAAGGGGGCUAGCGUUGCUCGGAAUUACUGGGCGUAAAGGGAGCGUAGGCGGACAUUUAAGUCAGGGGUGAAAUCCCAGAGCUCAACUCUGGAACUGCCUUUGAUACUGGGUGUCUUGAGUGUGAUAGAGGUAUGUGGAACUCCGAGUGUAGAGGUGAAAUUCGUAGAUAUUCGGAAGAACACCAGUGGCGAAGGCGACAUACUGGAUCAUUACUGACGCUGAGGCUCGAAAGCGUGGGGAGCAAACAGGAUUAGAUACCCCCGUAGUCCCUGUCUCUUAUAC
rnacentral:rRNA from 1 species